UUUGCNCAAUGGGCGAAAGCCUGANGGAGCAACGCCGCGUGAGCGAAGAAGGUCUUCGGAUCGUAAAGCUCUGUUGUCAGGGAAGAACAANCGCUGGAGUANCUGGNUGCGCCCUGACGGUACCUUACUANAAAGCCCCGGCUAACUACGUGCCAGCAGCCGCGGUAAUAA
rnacentral:rRNA from 1 species